ACUUUAUUCAUCCCUCAGAGGGAAAUUGUUAAUUGUUUUUUUUUUUUUUUUUAGAUUUGCUAAGUGGAGCACAGGAUGUGGUGAGGUGUGUGUUUAAGUUUCCAGAGAAACAGUGUUAAGGAAAUGUUUUUCUUACAAGUGGCCUCGGUGCUGAUAAGUUUAUGAUGUUCAGCUUUAGGCAGCAGUUAAAGUUCAACAGUUACAAACAUUAUUUACUUUACUAAUUUUUAAAUGCUUGUCAUGUCUGAACAAUGAUUUUAAAUCCCCCAAAAUAUCAGAAAUGUUCACGAGGCCUAAAACAUUAAUCGACUUUCAUUCUUGCUGCAGAUUAUUUUUACUGUCGACCGACUAAUUGUUGAAGCACUUUGAGCAUCUCAGCAUCUAAACAAAGAAAAGACAGAGGAUAUUUAUUAGUUUGAAGGUUCAUUUGUGACCGUGGGAACACAUUUAUUAACAAGGAAUAUUUUUGUUAGAGGCCAACAGCUAAGUUUUCUUGAGGUUUUGAUAGCACCUCUCCUCACUUACACUGUGGUCGAAGUGAGAUUAUGACGCGAGCAAAGCAAACCACUGACCGAGAUCCCCACCAGCAUCAAAAACCACAGGUCCACUGCAUGUCUGUUUGCUUUCUGUAUUUUUGAGGGCACCAAGCAUUUGCCUGCCUUGCCUCUUGGCAAGCAGCUCCCCUGGGUAUGAUUGUGAACCUGUUCCUGGUAUUUGCACCACAUCGUCUGUCUGAGUGUGUUCCUGAAGGAUCAGGUGACGGCAGCUCACUCUCUACUGAACCACAGUGCUGAUGAAUUCAAUCUGCUUCUAAAACACGUCUACACUCUGUGCACAUUAGUAGGCCAGCAAGAAAAUGUUUUCUGCUUAUCUCGCACCUGUGACUGUCUUGGGCGCCACUCUGUCUGUUACUGCUGUAAAACAAGUGGGUUAUCUCUCAUGCACUGCAUGGGCUAUGGUACUCUGAUGGCACUGUAAUGAGGAGAUGUGUGAGGGAAGGUGUCAGUGCAUGUAACAUUAAGAAGAGGAAUAGGCUAACAUGAGAUAAGAAGAUGACAUCAGUAGAGCUCAGGCCUGCAAAACAAGGGAGCAAAAGGAUGAGUUUGA